rnacentral:rRNA from 1 species
AUUGAACGCUGGCGGCAGGCUUAACACAUGCAAGUCGAACGAGUGGCGGACGGGUGAGUAAUGUCUGGGAACCUGCCUGCUGGAGGGGGAUAACUACUGGUAACGGUAGCUACUAACGCCUACUAUCAGAUGUGCCCCGAUGGGAUUAGCUUGUUGGUGGGGUAACGGCGCACCAAGGGGACGAUCCCUCGCUGGUCUGAGAGGAGGACCAGCAACACUGGAACUGAGACACGGUCCAGACUCCUACGGGAGGCAGCAGUGGGGAAUAUUGCACAAUGGGCGCAAGCCUGAUGCAGCCAUGCCGCGUGUAUGAAGAAGGCCUUCGGGUUGUAAAGUACUUGCAGCGGGGAGGCGUUACCCGCAGAAGAAGCACCGGCUAACUCCGUGCCAGCAGCCGCGGUAAUUC